rnacentral:rRNA from 1 species
UACAGAGGUCUCAAGCGUUGUUCGGAUUCAUUGGGCGUAAAGGGUGUGUAGGUGGCGCCGUAAGUCGGGUGUGAAAUUUCGGAGCUUAACUCCGAAACUGCAUUCGAUACUGCGGUGCUUGAGGACUGGAGAGGAGACUGGAUUUCAUGGUGUAGCAGUGAAAUGCGUAGAGAUCAUGAGGAAGACCAGUGGCGAAGGCGGGUCUCUGGACAGUUCCUGACACUGAGACACGAAGGCCAGGGGAGCAAACGGG